CCACCACUAAGCCAGUGGUGAACUCCACAUCCGCAUCCUUUGCUGAGGAUACGGUUAACGGAGCGAAAGCGACGUUCAACCGCAAAACAAGCAGAGGGGGCUUAGUGGUGGGGUGACUGCGUACCUUUUGUAUAAUGGGUCAGCGACUUAUAUUCUGUAGCAAGGUUAACCGAAUAGGGGAGCCGGAGGGAAACCGAGUCUUAAUUGGGCGUUAAGUUGCAGGGUAUAGACCCGAAACCCGGUGAUCUAGCCAUGGGCAGGUUGAAGGUUGGGUAACACUAACUGGAGGACCGAACCGACUAAUGUUGAAAAAUUAGCGGAUGACCUGUGGCUGGGGGUGAAAGGCCAAUCAAACCGGGAGAUAGCUGGUUCUCCCCGAAAGCUAUUUAGGUAGCGCCUCGUGAAUUCAUCUCCGGGGGUAGAGCACUGUUUCGGCUAGGGGGCCAUCCCGGCUUACCAACCCGAUGCAAACUGCGAAUACCGGAGAAUGUUAUCACGGGAGACACACGGCGGGUGCUAACGUCCGUCGUGAAGAGGGAAACAACCCAGACCGCCAGCUAAGGUCCCAAAGUCAUGGUUAAGUGGGAAACGAUGUGGGAAGGCCCAGACAGCCAGGAUGUUGGCUUAGAAGCAGCCAUCAUUUAAAGAAAGCGUAAUAGCUCACUGGUCGAGUCGGCCUGCGCGGAAGAUGUAACGGGGCUAAACCAUGCACCGAAGCUGCGGCAGCGAACGUAUCACCCAAGACAACUUUACGGAGUUGACGAUUGACGGAGCGAAGCGACGUCAAAGCGUUCAUUAAAGUCGAGUUGGCUUAGGGAUACGUUCGUUGGGUAGGGGAGCGUUCUGUAAGCCUGUGAAGGUGUGUCGUGAGGCAUGCUGGAGGUAUCAGAAGUGCGAAUGCUGACAUAAGUAACGAUAAAGCGGGUGAAAAGCCCGCUCGCCGGAAGACCAAGGGUUCCUGUCCAACGUUAAUCGGGGCAGGGUGAGUCGACCCCUAAGGCGAGGCCGAAAGGCGUAGUCGAUGGGAAACGGGUUAAUAUUCCCGUACUUGGUGUUACUGCGAAGGGGGGACGGAGAAGGCUAUGUUGGCCGGGCGACGGUUGUCCCGGUUUAAGCGUGUAGGUGUGUGUUCCAGGUAAAUCCGGUUCACUUUAACACUGAGGCGUGACGACGAGGCACUACGGUGCUGAAGCAACAAAUGCCCUGCUUCCAGGAAAAGCCUCUAAGCAUCAGGUAACACGAAAUCGUACCCCAAACCGACACAGGUGGUCAGGUAGAGAAUACCAAGGCGCUUGAGAGAACUCGGGUGAAGGAACUAGGCAAAAUGGUGCCGUAACUUCGGGAGAAGGCACGCUGACACGUAGGUGAAGUGAUUUACUCAUGGAGCUGAAGUCAGUCGAAGAUACCAGCUGGCUGCAACUGUUUAUUAAAAACACAGCACUGUGCAAACACGAAAGUGGACGUAUACGGUGUGACGCCUGCCCGGUGCCGGAA
rnacentral:rRNA from 1 species